CAGGUAAAACGCCUCCCUCCACAAGGUUCUUCAAUUCUGCCACAAUGAUGUGAAAUGAGAACUCCCUGAUACCGCCCAUCAGUGUUUUCUACCUGAAUCAUAUUCAUCUCGGUGGCAGGCUAUAAAACAAGAGCUACAGUGUACCUGGACAGCAAGAAGCAUGCGCCCCCACAACGGUGUCUGGAGAGCAGAGGGAGGGCUGCAGCCUUUCCUUCCCUGCCAGAUCCUCCCUGCAGUAACACGCAGACACACCCCCCAGCCCUCAGUACUUCGAUGGUCACACACCGUCCCCCACGCCCACCGGGACUGAUUCCCAGACAGGAGGUGCAGUGUACCCAGAUAACGGACAGAGGGGCUGCUUCUAAACCUUGGAGGCCACACCCACUUGCUAAGGUCUAACGAUGCAGUGGCCAGAUGCCUCACUUUUUCGUUAGUCUGCCAGCGUUUGUUUAUGUGUUUCUUUACCGUGACUCUUCACUACAUUAGAAUUUCCACUCAGUCAAGAAUUUUUUACCUGUUCUGUUCAUGUUCAAACCUCCUUGGUACACGGAAGGUGUCCAUAAACAGAGCUGAGUUAAAUAGUACCUGUUAUGUGGCAAAUAUUCACAAAGGGGUGUCAGGAAAGAGAGAUGGUGUGAAGACUUCCAGAGCUUAUAGUAGAAAUCUCAGAGAGUAGACCUCCUUUAGACUGAAAAAUUAACUUAUAAUCUAAUAUUCAGUGUAAUGACAGCCACGCUUCAUCUUCUAAAGCAGCUUUCUUGAGGUAUGUGAUUCAAACGCCGUGCAGCCCGUCCAUUAAAGUCUGUUCUUAAGGAGGCUUCAGUGCAUUCAUGAAUGUGUGCAACCGCCACUGCUCAGUUUUACAGCAGUGUAAACGCUUUCAGACAGAACAGCUGAAAUAUGGACUCUAACAGUUCUAUAACGCAAAGAAAGUGUAGCUAAAACUUGCUAUUUUAUUAGAGAAUAACUUGUGUGUGUAAUUGUUGCUAGUGGCUUAAAAGUUUCAAUUUAGGGUUUUCUAAAUAAUAAAGACUGUGUGGAAACCAGGA